CUGGCGGCGUGCCUAACACAUGCAAGUCGAACGGGAAAGCGGGGGCAACCCUGUGAGUACAGUGGCGUACGGGUGAGUAACACGUGACUACCUACCCUCGAGUGGGGGAUAACCCCGGGAAACCGGGGCUAAUACCGCAUAACAUCGCAAGAUCAAAGGAGCAAUUCGCUUGAGGAGGGGGUCGCGGCUGAUUAGCUAGUUGGUGAGGUAACGGCCCACCAAGGCAAUGAUCGGUAGCCGGCCUGAGAGGGCGCACGGCCACACUGGAACUGAAACACGGUCCAGACUCCUACGGGAGGCAGCAGUGGGGAAUUUUGCGCAAUGGGGGAAACCCUGACGCAGCAACGCCGCGUGGAGGAUGAAGUCCCUUGGGACGUAAACUCCUUUCGAUCCGGACGAUAAUGACGGUACGGGUGGAAGAAGCACCGGCUAACUUCGUGCCAGCAGCCGCGGUAAU
rnacentral:rRNA from 1 species